UGCGUAGGGUGCAAGCGUUAAUCGGAAUUACUGGGCGUAAAGCGUGCGCAGGCGGUUGUGCAAGACCGAUGUGAAAUCCCCGGGCUUAACCUGGGAAUGGCAUUGGUGACUGCACGGCUAGAGUGUGUCAGAGGGGGGUAGAAUUCCACGUGUAGCAGUGAAAUGCGUAGAGAUGUGGAGGAAUACCGAUGGCGAAGGCAGCCCCCUGGGAUAACACUGACGCUCAUGCACGAAAGCGUGGGGAGCAAACAGG
rnacentral:rRNA from 1 species